UAAUGACGUUUUCGAUAAAGUGUAACGCGGCGAAGCGCCGGUAGUAAAUAAUGGCAAAAUUGAAGUUUCACAAAACGAAAUGUUAAUUUAACGUUUCUGGUUAUGUGUCAAGUUGUGUUAAAACAAUAUUCGUCUCAAUACUAACUUCUCUAAAUUGCUAAAUUCACGAAAUUGUUAGAAACACGAGUCAAACAAUUCCAAGAAACUAAAAAUGUACAAACAUAAAAUUCAGAAACAGAUAGAAACUUUUCAACGAUUGGAGCUACAUAUUUGAUAGAAUAUCCAAAUAAGAUUAUUAACAACAGAAAAAUGUUAAAAGAAACUUUUUCUUCUAUUUGUAAUUUAAGCCUUAUUAUAUAAACUUGAAAAUUAUGUUGCAGAAUUUCUUGAUAUGUUCCUUUAUUUUAAACGUGAUUAGUUGAAAUUAGUAUCUCAUAUCUUCUUGGAGAGGUAGAUUGGCAGGUAGAAGCCCCGGGAUAAAAUUAAUCAGCGGAAAUUAAGCCAAUUUACGAAAUGAUCGAGUAAAUUUCCAGACUUGUAUAUCAAAACACCAUUAUUGUCGAUGUUUGAUCGCCAGUAAUCACGCAGAAAUCACCAACGCUAAGUAUAUUUUCGUGGCGUGUCUAGCAAUCGUUAAAGCCUAUUCACGGAAGUCGAACAAACUCGGCUUAAUCGUUUGGGAUCAGCGCCAAGGCUUUCUUUCAAGAAAGUCUAGC